AACUUUCAACAACGGAUCUCUUGGUUCUCGUAUCGAUGAAGAACGCAGCGAAAUGCGAUAAGUAAUGUGAAUUGCAGAAUUCAGUGAAUCAUCGAAUCUUUGAACGCACAUUGCGCCCCUUGGUAUUCCUUGGGGCAUGCCUGUUCGAGCGUCA
rnacentral:rRNA from 1 species